rnacentral:rRNA from 1 species
UACGUAGGGGGCUAGCGUUAAUCGGAAUUACUGGGCGUAAAGCGUGCGCAGGCGGUUAUGCAAGACAGAUGUGAAAUCCCCGGGCUCAACCUGGGAACUGCAUUUGUGACUGCAUGGCUAGAGUACGGUAGAGGGGGAUGGAAUUCCGCGUGUAGCAGUGAAAUGCGUAGAUAUGCGGAGGAACACCGAUGGCGAAGGCAAUCCCCUGGACCUGUACUGACGCUCAUGCACGAAAGCGUGGGGAGCAAACAGG